CGAGGAGCUUGCUCCUCUGACGUUAGCGGCGGACGGGUGAGUAACACGUGGAUAACCUACCUAUAAGACUGGGAUAACUUCGGGAAACCGGAGCUAAUACCGGAUAAUAUAUUGAACCGCAUGGUUCAAUAGUGAAAGACGGUUUUGCUGUCACUUAUAGAUGGAUCCGCGCCGCAUUAGCUAGUUGGUAAGGUAACGGCUUACCAAGGCAACGAUGCGUAGCCGACCUGAGAGGGUGAUUGGCCACACUGGAACUGAGACACGGUCCAGACUCCUACGGGAGGCAGCAGUAGGGAAUCUUCCGCAAUGGGCGAAAGCCUGACGGAGCAACGCCGCGUGAGUGAUGAAGGUCUUCGGAUCGUAAAACUCUGUUAUUAGGGAAGAAUAAAUGUGUAAGUAACUAUGCACGUCUUGACGGUACCUAAUCAGAAAGCCACGGCUAACUACGUGCCAGCAGCCGCGGUAAUACGUAGGUGGCAAGCGUUAUCCGGAAUUAUUGGGCGUAAAGCGCGCGUAGGCGGUUUUUUAAGUCUGAUGUGAAAGCCCACGGCUCAACCGUGGAGGGUCAUUGGAAACUGGAAAACUUGAGUGCAGAAGAGGAAAGUGGAAUUCCAUGUGUAGCGGUGAAAUGCGCAGAGAUAUGGAGGAACACCAGUGGCGAAGGCGACUUUCUGGUCUGUAACUGACGCUGAUGUGCGAAAGCGUGGGGAUCAAAC
rnacentral:rRNA from 1 species